AGAAUGUACAGCAGUCUUUAUGUUUCUCACUUCUCGAUCAACAUAUAAAUUCAUUCAAAAAAAAUUAACGCUAUUAUCAUUUUUGCAAGCUAAAAUGAACACCUACUCAACUUUCUAGGGGCCCAUGUUGAUUUCCUCAGAGAUAAAUAGAGCAGGAAUCUAUUCUUUAGUUACGGAAGAUCAAACGAGAGUGGCAGCUUGUAGCCUCUUCUGAUCUCUUGCAUUUGUUAUCAUUUCCGUCUUAUUAUAUUGUUCUUGAUCUACUUUUGUGCUUCACAUAAAUAAAGUUGAGUGACAUUUGACUAUUGGGUAAUGGAAUGUGAACGCAACUAAUUAUGUCAGCAACAAUCAUUGAUAAGAAAAAUGACUUCAAAUUUUAUAUAAAACACUAAAUAUUACUGGAGACGCAGAAGGAUGUAUGUCUACAUACAAAUUGAAUAGAUUUGAAGCCCAAACUCUAUUGUUUCUCUGAGAAGAAAACGGAAUGAAUGCAUAGUGAACAAUGUGCUUUCACUAUUGAUUAAGUUUUUGCCUUUGUUUAAUAUAUAUACAACUCAAUACAGAGAUAUGAUUCUCUUGAAAUUCUGUUGAGACAAGGAAACUCCCAUCAACUACUUAUCAUUUGUUUUCGUGACUUCUAUGCCAGUCUGAAGGCUUUUGAGAGAAAUUAGUGCAUUUCACCAGUUAUUCACCAUUCAUUGCUUUAGAAGAAAAAUAAAAAAAACCUUACAUGAGGCAGU
rnacentral:lncRNA from 1 species